rnacentral:misc_RNA from 1 species
GUUUAUAGGCUCAAAGUAAUCCUAAAAGUACUUGAAUUCAUGAUAGUUCCCAAAUUCAGAAGUAACUGUUAUGCGAAUUAUGACUCUUAUUAAUGCCCAAGAGGUAAGUAGACUCAAUUUAGGACCCAAGGCACUACACUUCAGCUCAUGCUAGCAAAACUUGAAAUUACAAAAUACUCGAGUCUUAAAGUUGUAAAAUACUGAAUCAACAACUAACUGAAAACAGACAUUUUCAUUAGACCGUAAAUCUAAAAAGUUGACUUGAU